UACGUAGGGUGCAAGCGUUAAUCGGAAUUACUGGGCGUAAAGCGUGCGCAGGCGGUUUUGUAAGUUUGUCGUGAAAGCCCUGGGCUCAACCUGGGAAUUGCGAUGAAGACUGCAAGGCUUGAAUCUGGCAGAGGGGGGGGUAGAAUUCCACGUGUAGCAGUGAAAUGCGUAGAGAUGUGGAGGAACACCGAUGGCGAAGGCAGCCCCCUGGGUCAAGAUUGACGCUCAUGCACGAAAGCGUGGGAGCGAACAGG
rnacentral:rRNA from 1 species